AGUAAAAGUCUUUUCAUCCCGGUGGUGGGAACAAGAAAUUUAUUUUUCGAUUUUUAAAAAAAGGAACGUAUAAUGCUGUAGUUUUCAAGGUGGAUGCAUUGACAUUUGAAAAUUCAUUGAGUGCAACUAACUUUUAUGUUCCUUGUGGGUGGAUCUUCUUAUAUAAGGAAAGUUGGCGAAUUCCCUUUGGUGAGGCACUCUCUAGAAGUUUGUUCCCUCCUGCCUGUAAGUUAGCGCGUGGUAAAAAAUAUUGACUACAAAAUUGUCACGCAAAAUGGGUUAAGAAAAGUUCACAAAUGCGCUCCU